CUAUCAAAAUAUUUUUGUACUUUAUAUGCGUCCCCCGAUAGAAGUUAAAACAAUCCUUGUGGCCGCAUUGGGUAACUUUAGGACUUCCAUUUUAAUUUUGUCUAGGAAAAAAAAGUAAAAUCCGUGUGAUAAUAGUGGAACUGUGCUCGUGUACAUUGAGAUAAAGAAUACAUAUUUAUAUACGUAUACAUAAUGUAAGAAUAUAUUAUAUUAUCUAUGAUUAUAACCGCC